rnacentral:rRNA from 1 species
GGCCCCACACAUGCAAGUCGAGCGUGAAAGUUCUUCGGAAUGAGUAAAGCGGCGGACGGGUGAGUAACGCGUAGGAAUCUGCCCUGAAGUGGGGGAUAACUUGGGGAAACUCAAGCUAAUACCGCAUAGACCUGAGGGUGAAAGAUGGGGAUCUUCGGACCUAUCGCUUCAGGAGGAGCCUGCGUCGGAUUAGCUUGUUGGUAGGGUAAAGGCCUACCAAGGCGACGAUCCGUAGCUGGUCUGAGAGGAUGACCAGCCACACUGGGACUGAGACACGGCCCAGACUCCUACGGGAGGCAGCAGUGGGGAAUAUUGGACAAUGGGCGCAAGCCUGAUCCAGCCAUGCCGCGUGUGUGAAGAAGGCUCUAGGGUUGUAAAGCUC